AGUGAACGCUGGCGGUAGGCCCAACACAUGCAAGUCGAACGGCAGCACAGUAAGAGCUUGCUCUUACGGGUGGCGAGUGGCGGACGGGUGAGGAAUACAUCGGAAUCUACUUUUUCGUGGGGGAUAACGUAGGGAAACUUACGCUAAUACCGCAUACGACCUACGGGUUAAAGCAGUGGAUCUUCGGACCUUUCGCGAUUGAAUGAGCCGAUGUCGGAUUAGCUAGUUGGCGGGGUAAAGGCCCACCAAGGCGACGAUCCGUUGCUGGUCCGAGAGGAUGGUCAGGCAAAAUGGGAAUGGGGAAAGGGCCAGAACCCUAAGGGGGGGAGGAGGGGGGAAUAUUGGAGAAUGGGGGGAAGGCUGAUCGAGGCAAAGCGGGGGGGGGAAGAAGGCCUUCGGGUUGGAAAGCCCUUUUGAUGGGAAAGAAAAGAAGCAAGUUAAAACCACGCAGGUCUGAAGGGACCCAAAGAAUAAGCACCGGCUAAAUUAGUG
rnacentral:rRNA from 1 species